rnacentral:piRNA from 1 species
GGUGAGGAUGGACCUUGUGCUAC